rnacentral:rRNA from 1 species
CCUACGGGGGGCAGCAGUGGGGAAUUUUGGACAAUGGGGGCAACCCUGAUCCAGCCAUGCCGCGUGCGGGAAGAAGGCCUUCGGGUUGUAAACCGCUUUUAGCCGGGAAGAAAAGGCGAUCUCUAAUACGGGUCGUUCUUGACGGUACCGGCGGAAUAAGCACCGGCUAACUACGUGCCAGCAGCCGCGGUAAUACGUAGGGUGCGAGCGUUAAUCGGAAUUACUGGGCGUAAAGCGUGCGCAGGCGGGUGCAAGCCCCGGGCUCAACCUGGGAACGGCAUUGGAACCUGGCGGGCUAGAGUGUGGCAGAGGGGGGUGGAAUUCCGCGUGUAGCAGUGAAAUGCGUAGAGAUGCGGAGGAACACCGAUGGCGAAGGCAGCCCCCUGGGCUGACACUGACGCUCAGGCACGAAAGCGUGGGGAGCAAACAGGAUUAGAUACCCUGGUAGUC